UAGGGAAUCUUCGGCAAUGGGGGCAACCCUGACCGAGCAACGCCGCGUGAGUGAAGAAGGUUUUCGGAUCGUAAAGCUCUGUUGUAAGUCAAGAACGGGUGUGAGAGUGGAAAGUUCACACUGUGACGGUAGCUUACCAGAAAGGGACGGCUAACUACGUGCCAGCAGCCGCGGUAAUACGUAGGUCCCGAGCGUUGUCCGGAUUUAUUGGGCGUAAAGCGAGCGCAGGCGGUUUGAUAAGUCUGAAGUUAAAGGCUGUGGCUCAACCAUAGUUCGCUUUGGAAACUGUCAAACUUGAGUGCAGAAGGGGAGAGUGGAAUUCCAUGUGUAGCGGUGAAAUGCGUAGAUAUAUGGAGGAACACCGGUGGCGAAAGCGGCUCUCUGGUCUGUAACUGACGCUGAGGCUCGAAAGCGUGGGGAGCGAACAGGAUUAGAUACCCUGGUAGUCCACGCCGUAAACGAUGAGUGCUAGGCGUUGGAUCCUUUCCGGGAUUCAGUGCCGCAGCUAACGCAUUAAGCACUCCGCCUGGGGAGUACGACCGCAAGGUUGAAAC
rnacentral:rRNA from 1 species